rnacentral:rRNA from 1 species
GAUCAUGGCUCAGGACGAACGCUGGCGGCGCGCCUAACACAUGCAAGUCGAACGGUGAAGAGGAGCUUGCUCCUCGGAUCAGUGGCGGACGGGUGAGUAACACGUGAGCAACCUGGCUCUAAGAGGGGGACAACAGUUGGAAACGACUGCUAAUACCGCAUAACGUAUCGGGAUGGCAUCUUUCUGAUACCAAAGAUUUUUAUCGCUUAGAGAUGGGCUCGCGUCUGAUUAG